AUGGAUCUUCUCCAGUUUGUGCUCAACUUUAAAGGCACACCACCAUGGCUGGACUCGACGGCCAUUACCGCCCAUACGGACUGUUGGAGGCCGGAGACGCACUCUUUUCACCUUGCUCUUGGUGAGAUGACCGUCACUUUGGAGGAUAUUGCGAUGAUCUCCGGUCUUCCCAUCGAGGGCAGGGCUCUUACCGGGAAGGUGAAGUCUGAGAGGUGGCGACAAAGGGUUGCAGGUUUGGUUGGUGUUGAACCUCCCCCGUGGAUUCAUGAAACAAAGAAGGAUCCUAGGCCAUCUGGUGUUUUCUUCUCGUGGCUACAAGAACAUUUUUACGAGUGCCCAGAGAGUGCCAGUCUGACUGUUGUGGAGAGGUACGCCAGGGCUAACUUAUGGAAUCUUUUGACCCAA
rnacentral:rRNA from 1 species